rnacentral:rRNA from 1 species
AGCGAACGCUGGCGGCAGGCCUAACACAUGCAAGUCGAACGAACUCUUCGGAGUUAGUGGCGGACGGGUGAGUAACACGUGGGAACGUGCCUUUAGGUUCGGAAUAACUCAGGGAAACUUGUGCUAAUACCGAAUGUGCCCUUCGGGGGAAAGAUUUAUCGCCUUUAGAGCGGCCCGCGUCUGAUUAGCUAGUUGGUGAGGUAAAGGCUCACCAAGGCGACGAUCAGUAGCUGGUCUGAGAGGAUGAUCAGCCACAUUGGGACUGAGACACGGCCCAAACUCCUACGGGAGGCAGCAGUGGGGAAUAUUGCGCAAUGGGCGAGAGCCUGACGCAGCCAUGCCGCGUGAAUGAUGAAGGUCUUAGGAUUGUAAAAUUCUUUCACCCGGGACGAUAAUGACGGUACCCGGAGAAGAAGCCCCGGCUAACUUCGUG